UUUUAAUAUGAUGAUUUCAUAGUUCACCUGAAUUCUAUUGAAGACAUACUAUUUAAUGUCUUUCGCUCCUAUCUGACUUUGUUU